GGAAGCUUUCGGGUGGAAUGAACUUAACUUAGCGGCGGACGGGUGAGUAACGCGUGGACAACCUACCCUGUACAGGGGGAUAACAAUGGGAAACCAUUGCUAAUACCCCAUAACACCUUUUAGGGGCAUCCCUUUGAGGUCAAAGAAUUUCGGUACAGGAUGGGCCCGCGUCUGAUUAGCUAGUUGGUGAGGUAAUGGCUCACCAAGGCGACGAUCAGUAGCCGGCCUGAGAGGGUGAACGGCCACGCUGGAACUGAGACACGGUCCAGACUCCUACGGGAGGCAGCAGUGGGGAAUAUUGCACAGUGGUCGAAAGCCUGAUGCAGCAACGCCGCGUGAGCGAUGAAGGCUUUCGGGUCGUAAAGCUCUGUCCUAAGGGAAGAUAAUGACGGUACCUUAGGAGGAAGCCCCGGCUAACUACGUGCCAGCAGCCGCGGUAAUACGUAGGGGGCAAGCGUUAUCCGGAAUCAUUGGGCGUAAAGGGAGCGUAGGCGGCCCUAUAGGUCAGAGGUCAAAGGCUACGGCUCAACCGUAGUAAGCCUUUGAAACUGUAGGGCUUGAGUGCAGGAGAGGAGAGUGGAAUUCCUAGUGUAGCGGUGAAAUGCGUAGAUAUUAGGAGGAACACCAGUGGCGAAGGCGACUCUCUGGACUGCAACUGACGCUGAGGCACGAAAGCGUGGGGAGCGAACAGGAUUAGAUACCCUGGUAGUCCACGCCGUAAACGAUGAGUGCUAGGUGUCGGGGGUCGAACCUCGGUGCCGCAGCUAACGCAUUAAGCACUCCGCCUGGGGAGUACGUUCGCAAGAAUGAAACUCAAAGGAAUUGACGGGGACCCGCACAAGCAGCGGAGCAUGUGGUUUAAUUCGAAGCAACGCGAAGAACCUUACCUGGACUUGACAUCCCUCGGACCGCUUUUUAACCAAAGCCUUCCCUUCGGGGACUGAGGUGACAGGUGG
rnacentral:rRNA from 1 species